UUAAGUUCAGCGCGUAUUCCUACCUGAUCCGAGGUCAACCAUUGAAAAAAUUUCCCGGUAAGGGAGAAGACCGGGUCCCGGGUGCCCUCGUCCGAUACGUGCUCAGUUAAAAGCUCAGUGUACCGGGGGAACCACAGGCCGCCGUCAUUGUCUUUAGGAGGGGUCGCGCUGACGCGACCAAGCCGUCCAACACCAAGCAC
rnacentral:misc_RNA from 1 species